GACGAAGGAUGCAAGCGUUAUCCGGAUUCAUUGGGUUUAAAGGGAGCGUAGGUGGCCUUAUAAGUCAGUGGUGAAAUCUCUCGGCUUAACCGAGAAAUUGCCAUUGAUACUGUAGGGAUUGAGUAUAGUUCCGUUGGCGGAAUAUGACAUGUAGUGGUGAAAUACAUAGAGAUGUCAUAGAACACCGAUUGCGAAAGGCAGCUGACGAAACUAUAACUGACACUGAGGCUCGAAAGUGCGGGGAUCAAACAGGAUUAAGAAACCCCGGG
rnacentral:rRNA from 1 species